CAAAUGGGAGGAGACCCAGCUCUGGAGA
rnacentral:piRNA from 1 species